UACAGAGGGGGCAAGCGUUGUUCGGAAUUACUGGGCGUAAAGGGCGCGUAGGCGGCCUUCUAAGUCGAACGUGAAAUCCCUGGGCUCAACCCAGGAACUGCGUCCGAUACUGGAAGGCUUGAAUCCGGGAGAGGGAUGCGGAAUUCCAGGUGUAGCGGUGAAAUGCGUAGAUAUCUGGAGGAACACCGGUGGCGAAGGCGACUUCCUGGCCUGUUCUUGACGCUGAGGCGCGAAAGCUAGGGGAGCAAACGGG
rnacentral:rRNA from 1 species